AUGAACGCUGGCGGCUGUGACCUAAUACAUGCAAGUCGAGCGGAAAGGCCUCUUCGGAGGUACUCGAGCGGCGGAGCGGCUGAGUAACACGUAGGAACGUACCCCAAACUGAGGGAUAACUGCUCGAAAGAGUAGCUAAUACCGCAUGUGGUUCUUCGGAUUUAAAGCUUCGGGCGGUUUGGGGACGGCCUGCGUCUGAUUAGCUAGAUGGUGACGGGUAAUGGCUCACCAAUGGCGACGAUCAGUAGCUGGUCUGAGAGGAUGAUCAGCCAGACUGGGACUGAGACACGGCACCCAGACUCCUUACGGGAUGGCAGCAGUAGGGAAUUUUUCCACCAAUGGGCGAAAGCCUGAUGGAGCAACGCCGCGUGCAGGAUGAAUGCCUUCGGGUUGUAAACCGCUUUUAUAUGUGACCGAUUAUGACGGUAGCAUAUGAAUAAGGAUCGGCUAACUCCGUGCCAGCAGCCGCGGUUCAUACGGAGAGGAUCCAAGCGUUAUCCGGAAUUACUGGGCGUAAAGAGUUGCGUAGGUGGCAUAGUAAGCGAGUAGUAUGAAAGCGUGUGGCUCAACCAUACUCACAUUAUUCGAACUGCUAAGCUAGAGGAUGAGAGAGGUUAUUGGAAUUCCCAGUGUAGGAGUGAAAUCCGCCAGAUAUUGGGAGGAACACCGAUGGCGUAGGCAGAUAACUGGCUCAUUCCUGACACUAAGGCACCGAAAGCGUGGGGAGCAAACGGGAUUAGAUACCCCGGUAGUCCACGCCGUAAACGAUGGAUGCUAGCUGUAGAGGUAUCGAACCCCUCUAGUAGCGAAGCUAACGCGUUAAGCAUCCCGCCUGUGGUAGUACUGGUCGCAAGACUAAAACAUAAAGGAAUUGACUGGGGACCCGCACAAUGCGGUGGAGCGUGUUGUUUAAUUCGAUUGGUAAGCGAAGAACCUUACCCAGGCUUGAACAUCUCUUGGAAGGCUUCCGAAAGGAAACUGUGCCCUCGGGAAACCAAGUGUACAGGUGUAUGCAUGGCCGUCGUCAGCUCGUGUCGUGAGAUGUUUUGGUUAAGUCAAUCAACGAGCGCAACCCCUUAUAGUUAGUUGGAUUUUUUUUCUAGCUAGACUGCCCUGGUAGCAGGGAGGAAGGAGGGGAUGAUGUCAGGUCAGUAUUUCCCUUACGUCUGGGGCUACAAACACGCUACAAUGGCCGGUACAAAGGGCAGCCAAGUCGCGAGACGGAGCAAAUCCAUCAAAGCCGGUCCCAGUUCGGAUUGCAGGCUGAAACUCGCCUGCAUGAAGUCGGAAUCGCUAGUAAUGGUAGGUACAGCACACUACCGUGAAUACGUUCCCGGGUCUUGUACACACCGCCCCGUCAAACCAUGAAAGUCGCCAAUACCCGACGUCCGAGCUUCGCCUCGGCCUAAGGUAGGGGAGAUGAUUGGGGUU
rnacentral:rRNA from 1 species